UGCCAGCCGCCGCGGUAAUACGAAGGGUGCUAGCGUUGUUCGGAAUUACUGGGCGUAAAGAGCAUGUAGGCGGACUGGAAAGUUGGGGGUGAAAUCCCAGGGCUCAACCCUGGAACUGCCUCCAAAACUAUCAGUCUAGAGUUCGAGAGAGGUAAGUGGAAUUCCGAGUGUAGGGGUGAAAUCCGUAGAUAUUCGGAGGAACACCAGUGGCGAAGGCGGCUUUCUGGACCGAUACUGACGCUGAGACGCGAAAGCGUGGGGAGCAAACAGGAUUAGAUA
rnacentral:rRNA from 1 species